GCGGAAGUGGCUGGAAGUCAUGAGGAACACAUCAGCGGAACAAGACAAAAGCAGCUGGUCGUGGAGAUUCCGCCAGGGGAGGAGUACACCGGCAGGCACCGCAGGCCAUCGAUCGUCAGAAAGACACGGAGUUUGGCCAGAAUUAUCAGAGAAGAGUUUGGCCAGAGGGGUCAGAGAAGAGUCCAGGGGAAAACCAUCACCCCUGUGACUCCGGAAUCUUCUGAGAGCUACUUCUACUUAAUAAAACCUUGCACUCAUUCUCCAAGCCCACAUGUGAUCCGAUUCAUCCAGUACACCAAGUGUCCAGGGACAUCUAGAUGAUAGAAGUUCCUUCAGAUGGGUCCCUGGUGUGAGGGUGUCCUGUAUCAGACUGCCUAUUGAAGUUCAACCUGUGGUUCAAGACAGGAUCUCACUCAGAAUACUACUUUCAUUCAGGCUGGAGUGCAGUGGCAUGAUCUUAGCUCUCUGCAACUUCCAGCCUCCUGGGCUCAAGCGAUUCUCCUGUCUCAGGCUCCGGAGUAGCUGGGACUACAGGCAUGCGCCACAACACCAGGGAAAAAAACCAACCAACCAACGAACUGAGCCUGAAACUGGUAACACAGAUACGUACAGCAUCAUAUUUAAGUAACCAAUCGGAAUUAUUGCAGUGGAGAUGUUUUAUUGGGCUGGUGUCCUCAUCAGAAGAGGAAGAGACAUCUGAAGCAGGUCUGCACAGAGGAGAAGCCAUGCUGGGAUACAAUGAGAGGGCAUCUGUCAGCAAGCCAAGGAGAGAAGCCUCAGGAGAAACCACAGCUAUCGACACCUUGAUUUUAGACUUCCAACCUCCAGAAAUGUGAGAAAUACAUUUAUGUUGUUUUAGCCACCCACUCUGUGAUACCGUAUUAUGGCAGCCCUAGAUGACUAAUAUACAAAUAACUAGUUGUGAAACUGAAAACUUCUGAAAAAUCUUUAUAAAACAUCAAAUAUUAUUAACCUUGAUUGUAAAAAGACUGAAUUUUCUUUCUACUAUCUUUAUAUAAAAAGAUAAUACAAAAUAUUUGUAAUAUGAAUACGAAGUCAAAAAUGUAAGAAAAAAGUAUUAUAGAGAUGUAUUAGGUAGCUGAUUAAAAAUGUUAUUUUUCUAGAGUUUGCAAUCCUUGUUAUUUUUGCACCGAUUUUUAAAAUGUGAAAUUUUUGCUUUUUGUCCUUAUUCUAAGUGUUCACUCUCAUAUUUGAGUAUGCAUUUGUAAUUUUGAAUUAAUUUCUUAAAGUAGGCUCCUCAAAUUGAGUAAACCUCAGGUUUUACAUAAUCUGAAUCUAUCCCUGGUUAAAAGUUCUGGCUUUAAAACCAGAGUGACCUGAAUCUGCACACAACUUCAGUAUUAUCACUGUCUGUAACUUGGGAAAUAUUUCAAAGGACUUAGGUCUUCUAUAACAACACCUACCGCAUGAGAGUGUUGUGUUAAUUAAAUGGCAUAGCCGCAUAUAAAAUAACUAGCAGAGUUCUCUUCUUAUACUUCUUUGGUGGGCUUCAAAAUAUUGUACCCCAACAAAAGUGACACAUGACAACAAAAGUGUAUUGUUACACUUUUUUUGGGGUACAAUAUUUUGUUUAAGGUCUUGUGUCACUUAAUGAUAGGGAUACAUUCUGAGGAAUGUGUUGUUAGGUAAUUUUGUCAUUAUGUGAACAUCAUAGAUUCUACUUAUGCAAACCUAGAUGGUUGAACUUACUACACAUCUGGGCUUUAUGGUAAGGCCUAUUGCUCCUAGGCUACAAACCUGUACAGUAUGUGAUAGUAAUGAAUAUUGUCACCAAUUAUUACACAUUGGUAUUUAUGUAUCUAAACAUAGCUAAAUAUUUUUUAAAGGUACAUUAAAAGCAUUAUAAAAGAUAAAAAAUGGCCAGGUGCAGUGGGUCGCACCUAUCAUCCCAACACUUUGGAUAGACAAGGUAGGAGGAUCACCUGAGCAUAGGAGUUUAAGACCAAGCUUAGGAACAUAGUGAGACACUGUCUCUAAUAAAGCAAACAAAAAUUAGCCAGGUAUGGUGGCAUGCAACUGUGGUUCCAGCUACUUGGGGGGCUGAGAUGGGAGGAUCACUUAAGCCCAGGAGUUUGAAGCUACAGUAAGCCAUGAUCGUGCCAUUGCACUCCAGCUUGGGUGACAGAAUGAGACACGGUCUUGGGAAAUUUUUUUAAAAUUAAAAUUUAAAAUGAUACAUAUUUCUGAACCCCUUGAGUCCUAUAAAGAAAAAUUGAAUAUCAAAUUUUAUAGGCCAGCUACAUUAUAAUCUUAUGGGACCACUAUUAUAUAUGCAAUCUGCUAUUAAUCAAAAUGUCAUUAUGCAGUGAGUGACUAUAUAUACAUUUAUGUAAAUAAUACAUUAUAAAAGAAAUGAACAAUAAACAUUUAUUAACAUA